CAUGGCUCAGGAUGAACGCUGACAGAAUGCUUAACACAUGCAAGUCAACUUGAACUUCGGUUUGGGUGGCGGACGGGUGAGUAACGCGUAAAGAACUUGCCUCACAGAUAGGGACAACAUUUGGAAACGAAUGCUAAUACCUGAUAUUAUGAUUAUAUGGCAUCGUAUAAUUAUGAAAGCUAUAUGCGCUGUGAGAGAGCUUUGCGUCCCAUUAGCUAGUUGGAGAGGUAACGGCUCACCAAGGCGAUGAUGGGUAGCCGGCCUGAGAGGGUGAUCGGCCACAAGGGGACUGAGACACGGCCCUUACUCCUACGG
rnacentral:rRNA from 1 species